UGGGGUAUGGCCAAGCGGUAAGGCUCCAGACUCUGACUCUGGCACUCCAAGGUUCGAAUCCUUGUACCCCAGCCA
rnacentral:tRNA from 1 species